GAAAAAUUUUUUUGCAAGUUUUUUUCUUUUCUUCUUCUUUUCGGUCACGUCUUGGUGUACAUUUUACCAGGUUAGUCCUUGGUUUGAUCAAAAAGAUGAGCAAUUUCGAUGUGAUUGAAUUCGGAUUUAACAAUGCCGAUGAAACGAUUAACUUUGGGACCCGGAAUUUAUCGGAUGGAGACAAUUUAUAUGAAGCCAUAACAUUAGCCACCCUUAAAUCUUCCACAGGGGUUGAAGCACAAUCAAACCCUUACAUCAAUGCUAUUGUGAAGAAUGGCUCCGUUUUUUUCAACAUUGAUAAUUCGAUGCGGAUUUUUGAAGACAAACAGUGUUCGUUCCAGUGUCAUUUUCGAUGCAACUUUUAAUGCAGUUGUAGACUCCUUUUGUAUUUCCUUAAACGGAGAAUUUCUAUUAAUUUGUCUCAGGAGUGGCACAUUGUAUUUACUUGAUUGCACGAAUGGAUAUAAAAUUGUCUUUAACAAGGCAUAUUCGUGUUCGACAUUUGAGGAUGUUCGCAAAAUUCUUGAAUAUGGUUCUACACUUCAGUUGAAAAAACAAGACAAGGAUGCUGAAGAAUUGCAAAAACGUGUAAUUGAUAACAUGGAAAGAUUUCAGACUUUUAGGGCGAUUUACACAGGCGCUGACUUGGUUUUGGAGACAACAAUUUGCCCAAGCUGAUCUAUUAACUGAAGUCAAAUAUUUUUUGCAAAACCAUGAAAUCGACGAAGCCAAAAUGAUUUAUAGCCGCCUAGACGAGUCGACAAUAGAAACCCUAACA